rnacentral:rRNA from 1 species
GAUGAACGCUGGCGGCGUGCUUAACACAUGCAAGUCGAACGAAGCAUUUAGGACAGAUUACUUCGGUUUGAAGUUCUUUAUGACUGAGUGGCGGACGGGUGAGUAACGCGUGGGUAACCUGCCUUGUACUGGGGGAUAGCAUCUGGAAACGGCUGGUAAUACCGCAUAAGCGCACAAUGUUGCAUGACAUGGUGUGAAAAACUCCGGUGGUAUAAGAUGGACCCGCGUCUGAUUAGCUAGUUGGUGAGAUAACAGCCCACCAAGGCGACGAUCAGUAGCCGACCUGAGAGGGUGACCGGCCACAUUGGGACUGAGACACGGCCCAGACUCCUACGGGAGGCAGCAGUGGGGAAUAUUGCACAAUGGAGGAAACUCUGAUGCAGCGACGCCGCGUGAGUGAAGAAGUAAUUCGUUAUGUAAAGCUCUAUCAGCAGGGAAGAUAGUGACGGUACCUGACUAAGAAGCUCCGGCUAAAUACGUG